GACGAACGCUGGCGGCGUGCCUAAUACAUGCAAGUCGAACGCAGUGGGGACGGUUGAGUAACACGUGGGUAACCUCCCAUCAGAGGGGAUAACCCUUGGAAACAGCUGCUAAACCGAUACUGAUUGAUGGACCCGCGGUGCAUUAGCUAGUUGGUGAGGUAACGGCUCACCAAGGCCACGAUGCCUAGCCGGUCUGAGAGGGUGAUCGGCCACACUGGAACUGAGACACGGCCCAGACUCCUACGGGAGGCAGCAGUAGGGAAUCUUCGGCAAUGGACGAAAGUCUGACCCAGCAACGCCGCGUGAGUGAAGAAGGUUUUCGGAUCGUAAAGCUCUGUUGUUAGAGAAGCGGUAUCUAACCAGAAAGCCACGGCUAACUACGUGCCAGCAGCCGCGGUAAUAC
rnacentral:rRNA from 1 species